UAAGAAAUAAGAAACAGAUGUGUCGC
rnacentral:sRNA from 1 species